CCUUGAUGGAGAGUUUGAUCCUGGCUCAGGACGAACGCUGGCGGCGUGCUUAACACAUGCAAGUCGAGCGGAAAGGCCCCUUCGGGGGUACUCGAGCGGCGAACGGGUGAGUAACACGUGAGCAACCUGCCCCUGACUUCGGGAUAAGCCUGGGAAACCGGGUCUAAUACCGGAUAUGACCUCUUGCCGCAUGGUGGGGGGUGGAAAGUUUUUUCGGUUGGGGAUGGGCUCGCGGCCUAUCAGCUUGUUGGUGGGGUGAUGGCCUACCAAGGCGACGACGGGUAGCCGGCCUGAGAGGGCGACCG
rnacentral:rRNA from 1 species